rnacentral:misc_RNA from 1 species
UAAAAUUUAAGUUGAGUGAAUUGUCUCUCUAGCAUUGCUUGAAUUGAAGAAUCAGAGAAGAGAAGCUUAUAAAUUCAGUGAAGAUGGUGGUAAGAACUGUGGAUCUUCGCUCAGACACCGUCACUAGACCAACUGAAGCCAUGCGGAACGCAAUGGCGAAUGCUGAAGUGGAUGAUGAUGUCUUAGGUUAUGAUCCAACAGCCCAACGCCUUGAAGCAGAGAUGGCAAGGAUAACGGGCAAGGAAGCAGGAUUAUUUGUUCCUUCUGGCACUAUGGGUAACCUUAUCAGUGUGCUGACUCAUUGCCAAAUCAGGGGCAGUGAGAUUAUUCUCGGUGAUUAUUCCCAUAUCCAUAUUUAUGAAAAUGGAGGCAUUUCCACCCUUGGAGGUGUUCAUCCAAGGACAGUGAAGAACAAUGAAGAUGGUACGAUGGAUCUUGAUCUGAUUGAAGCUGCGAUUCGAGAUCCUAGCUUUGAAAUAUGUUACCCAACCACUAGGCUGAUCUGCUUGGAGAAUUCGCAAGCUCACUCAGGGGGCAGAUGCCUUUCUGCGGAG